rnacentral:rRNA from 1 species
CGUGUAACUCGUGUCAGGAUGCCGGGUUAAUUCUGAGUUGUCGAGCGUUGUUCGGGUUCAUUGGGCGGAAAGGGGUCGUAGGCGGCGCGGUAAGUCGGGUGUGAAAUUUCUGGGCGUAACUCCGAAACGGCAUUCGAUACUGCCGUGCUUGAGGACUGGAGAGGAGACUGGAAUUUACGGGGUAGCGGUGAAAUGCGUAGAUAUCGUAAGGAAGACCAGUGGCGAAGGCGGGUCUCUGGACAGUUCCUGACGCUGAGGCACGAAGGUCAGGGGAGCAAACGGGAUUAGAUACCCCGUAGUC